rnacentral:lncRNA from 1 species
CUACAUCCAAUUGACCCACUAGUCACCCCUAAAUGCCCCUAAGCCCCCCACAUUACCUAUUUUUAAAUCCUUAUUUUCUGCCCCGAUCUAUAUUCAGGGCGCAGCCAUCUUUGUGUGGGUAGGUGAAGUCCCUCAGGGACACGUCAUCAGCCCACACUAGGCAGACACUGAGAUUCCCGCACAUGCCCAGUGAAACACCUGGACAUGCGAACGGGAAUUUCAUCUAUUCAUUCAUCAGACAGACGAAUGAGUGAAUAGAAAGAUCAGCCGAACAAACAAACACAAUGUAUCAGUGU